rnacentral:rRNA from 1 species
GUUCUCGUUGAUGAUCGGUGCUUGCACCGAGAUUCAACAUGGAACGAGUGGCGGACGGGUGAGUAACACGUGGGUAACCUGCCCUUAAGUGGGGGAUAACAUUUGGAAACAGAUGCUAAUACCGCAUAGAUCCAAGAACCGCAUGGUUCUUGGCUGAAAGAUGGCGUAAGCUAUCGCUUUUGGAUGGACCCGCGGCGUAUUAGCUAGUUGGUGAGGUAAUGGCUCACCAAGGCGAUGAUACGUAGCCGAACUGAGAGGUUGAUCGGCCACAUUGGGACUGAGACACGGCCCAAACUCCUACGGGAGGCAGCAGUAGGGAAUCUUCCACAAUGGACGCAAGUCUGAUGGAGCAACGCCGCGUGAGUGAAGAAGGCUUUCGGGUCGUAAAACUCUGUUGUUGGAGAAGAAUGGUCGGCAGAGUAACUGUUGUCGGCGUGACGGUAUCCAACCAGAAAGCCACGGCUAACUACGUGCCAGCAGCCGCGGUAAUACGUAGGUGGCAAGCGUUAUCCGGAUUUAUUGGGCGUAAAGCGAGCGCAGGCGGUUUUUUAAGUCUGAUGUGAAAGCCCUCGGCUUAACCGAGGAAGCGCAUCGGAAACUGGGAAACUUGAGUGCAGAGGAGGACAGUGGAACUCCAUGUGUAGCGGUGAAAUGCGUAGAUAUAUGGAAGAACACCAGUGGCGAAGGCGGCUGUCUGGUCUGUAACUGACGCUGAGGCUCGAAAGCAUGGGUAGCGAACAGGAUUAGAUACCCUGGUAGUCCAUGCCGUAAACGAUGAAUGCUAGGUGUUGGAGGGUUUCC